CAGCAAACAAAAUGAUUUAUUGAGCCAAUUCAAACGAACUCUAUCAAAACACACAAAGGCCUGGAGGAGAGAUUACAAUGAAACUUUGGAUCUUAUCAGCUCAGACAGCAUGGACUAUAUUCUACUGAAACGAUUUUUUUCAAAGAGGCAUAAACCAUAGUCUUCCAAAGAGAGGCUGCUGUGGACACUCUAGAGAAUUUACCAAAAAAAUGUCCAUGAAAAUUCCCCAGUGGAACCAUGUGUGAAUCCAGAUUUUUCUGCAGUGUGGUCCAGCAAGAAACCAAGCGCUCGCAUCCUUCCUCACAGCCGCUUGGGAUUUAUCUGUACCUGUUCACGCAGCAUCUCUAAGGUUUUCAUCUGCUUGUUUCUCAACUCUUUGUCUCGGGCAAAGGCAAAAUACCCAACGCCGAGUUGCCGGGCCUCUGAAAGAAGUGCAAAUUACCCAAAAGAUCAGACUGUCCUGAUCAUUCAACUACACUCAAGCCACAUUUCCUACCAAAGCAAAAAGAAACACAGUGAUAUUCGGCACAAGUUUUAAAAAGAAAAAGAAAACAGCUAAGUGAAAAAAAAAAACACCAAAGAAACACAAAAGUUAGACCAAGUUUUCGUCCUGUUGGCCAAGGGAAGCAUAACAAGCGUUCGUUUGCUUUCAGCCAUGGGCUGUCUCCACUUCUCUUGGGAAACAAUCCCUUGGAUUACCAGACCCUCUGUCAGGAAGAUAUUCCCAAUAUGACCAGGCCCUGAGAAGCUCAAGGUUUCCACUCUCCCUUUCUUAUGCCAAGACAAAGGCUAUCUGCUGGAUGCCUGAACCUGCAGGAUUUGGACAAGGUAGAGUUUCUCCCAACACUUCUCACAUAAAAGUUCCUGUAGUAAGAGGAAUUUAUUUUCCUGGAUGUUUCAGAGCUAUCUCUUAGGUCUUGUGUUUUAGAGUUACCUCUCAGAUUUUAUGUUUUAGAGUUAUCUCUUAGGUCUUAGGUCCUGCUGAAAAAUCUAGUUAUAAGGUCCUUGGCCAGGCAUGGUGGCUCACGCCUGUAAU